rnacentral:tRNA from 1 species
GUUCUUGUAGUUGAAUAACAACGGUGGUUUUUCGGAUCAUUAGUUUUGGUGUGAGGCCAGAUAAGAAUU